GAAUGACCUUCGAAUGUCCCUUCCAACCAAAACCAUUCUAGGAUUCCAUGAUAUAGGAGACAUGUAGUUUCCUUUUCUCAUGUACAAAUGUAAUAUAAAAACAAACAAACAAACCAACAAACAAAAAAAAAAUACAAAAAAAAACCACCACAAAAAACCAACAAAACAAAACAAAGGAAAAUAAAGUUUGCUGAAAUGGAUGACAAGGAUCUGGGCUACAAACAGUGGCUUUCUAAAUGAGGUACAUUUCAUCCACUGAAAGAACAGCCUAUGAAAGCAGGCAGCCUGGGCUGUCCAGCAGAAAAAUUCAACCUAUUUAAACAUUCC